rnacentral:rRNA from 1 species
UUCGGUGGGGAUUAGUGGCGAACGGGUGAGUAACACGUGGGCAAUCUGCCCUUCACUCUGGGACAAGCCCUGGAAACGGGGUCUAAUACCGGAUAAUACUUCCACUCGCAUGGGUGGGGGUUAAAAGCUCCGGCGGUGAAGGAUGAGCCCGCGGCCUAUCAGCUUGUUGGUGAGGUAAUGGCUCACCAAGGCGACGACGGGUAGCCGGCCUGAGAGGGCGACCGGCCACACUGGGACUGAGACACGGCCCAGACUCCUACGGGAGGCAGCAGUGGGGAAUAUUGCACAAUGGGCGAAAGCCUGAUGCAGCGACGCCGCGUGAGGGAUGACGGCCUUCGGGUUGUAAACCUCUUUCAGCAGGGAAGAAGCGAAAGUGACGGUACCUGCAGAAGAAGCGCCGGCUAACUACGUGCCAGCAGCCGCGGUAAUACGUAGGGCGCAAGCGUUGUCCGGAAUUAUUGGGCGUAAAGAGCUCGUAGGCGGUCUGUCACGUCGGAUGUGAAAGCCCGGGGCUUAACCCCGGGUCUGCAUUCGAUACGGGCAGACUAGAGUGUGGUAGGGGAGAUCGGAAUUCCUGGUGUAGCGGUGAAAUGCGCAGAUAUCAGGAGGAACACCGGUGGCGAAGGCGGAUCUCUGGGCCAUUACUGACGCUGAGGAGCGAAAGCGUGGGGAGCGAACAGGAUUAGAUACCCUGGUAGUCCACGCCGUAAACGGUGGGAACUAGGUGUUGGCGACAUUCCACGUCGUCGGUGCCGCAGCUAACGCAUUAAGUUCCCCGCCUGGGGAGUACGGCCGCAAGGCUAAAACUCAAAGGAAUUGACGGGGGCCCGCACAAGCAGCGGAGCAUGUGGCUUAAUUCGACGCAACGCGAAGAACCUUACCAAGGCUUGACAUACACCGGAAACGUCUGGAGACAGGCGCCCCCUUGUGGUCGGUGUACAGGUGGUGCAUGGCUGUCGUCAGCUCGUGUCGUGAGAUGUUGGGUUAAGUCCCGCAACGAGCGCAACCCUUGUUCUGUGUUGCCAGCAUGCCCUUCGGGGUGAUGGGGACUCACAGGAGACUGCCGGGGUCAACUCGGAGGAAGGUGGGGACGACGUCAAGUCAUCAUGCCCCUUAUGUCUUGGGCUGCACACGUGCUACAAUGGCCGGUACAAAGAGCUGCGAAACCGUGAGGUGGAGCGAAUCUCAAAAAGCCGGUCUCAGUUCGGAUUGGGGUCUGCAACUCGACCCCAUGAAGUCGGAGUUGCUAGUAAUCGCAGAUCAGCAUUGCUGCGGUGAAUACGUUCCCGGGCCUUGUACACACCGCCCGUCACGUCACGAAAGUCGGUAACACCCGAAGCCGGUGGCCCAACCCCUUGUGGGAGGGAGCUGUCGAAGGUGGGACUGGCGAUU